GAAUGUUCCAGAUUCAUCCUGGUGACAACAAUAAUCUGUUUGGUCAUAUCUGGGAUUGUUAACAUUUUUCUUAUCUGUUACCGACUUUCAAGAGCAGCUUGUGAACAUUGUAAAGGGAUAGAAAUCACCUCUUCACGAAGCAGACAUGACAACUUGAGUCAGAAUGGAGAUGAUAUUGCUGAAGGUGGAAAUGAUCUGAACUAUGCUGCAUUAUAUUUCUCUGAAGCAAAACCAAAGAGAGGAAGGAGGAAGAAAAAGCUGAAUACUGAAGAAAGUCUGUAUUCUCAGGUCAAAU